GUGCUUCCUUUGUACGAAUGCCACUGCAGGGCGGGUAUUGUCAGGGUCCCAAGCCUACAGCCAGGAAGGGACCCCGGCACUCCUAGAAAAGUCUCCUUCCUGCCUAAUUCUCUCUGCUCCUCCAGGACUUGGGGAUCUCCUCAGAGAGGGCUUUCCUAGACUGGUUCUGCAGGCGGCCACACACUCAUCCUAGGACGGCUGCCUUGCAAUUCCCUCUCCAGGCUCAGCUUCGGAGCUGACCAGCAGCAGCCCUCACUCAACAAAGCAUUGUGGGAAAGAUACUGGGCCUCCCAGGGCCUCUGAUUCCUCCUACAUAAAAUGAAAACAACAGGCCCAGCCCAACACAGGCUGUGCGGAUAAAACGAGAUAAAGCCCGGGGAACACUCAGGCCAAGCCCAGAGCCGACUCGUAUUUGCCAUGAGGGUUACACAGCGCUGCACAUAACCCACGUGCAUUAGACCCUCAGGCCGUAGUAAAACUCUGUCAGCGACGGUGGUGUUCUGGUCAGUCCCGGGAAAGUCUGGGGACAACAAAGCAAACGCUGUGUCCUCCCAGGAACUGUCGGCCUCUGCCUGCUUUAGAGGUUUCUGCAGCCCUCCCCUCAUUGCACAACCAAGGAAGCCGGAACUCCUUGACAAUGCAUGAAUUUCACUGCGAAGACUUUAUCUCAAAGCUUAUCAGAGAGGCAGGUGGACAACAUGUACACACAAGGAUGUCGCACCACUUAUGAUCAUCGGGAAAAUGCAGAAAUUAUCUACGCGUCCAGGAGCAGCAGGUUGGAGCACCGACUUCAUGUGCCAAGUCCAGAGAAAGAAGGAUGACAACAGCCGCUGCCCUCUGAGAGCGACGAAGCUGUGGGGGGAAGAUCAUGAAGCAAUCGUCACCCCAGGGUGGGGUACAGAAAAGGCACCUGAUUUUGGCAUUGAAAUCCUUGGCUCCAAGUCCCGGCUCUGCCUUUUAGAAGACACUGAAGGUGCCGGCCCGCUUCCUUAACCGUGAAAUGGGUGACCCUGCCACCACCCACCCUGAGCAGGCUGUGUCACCUCGUCACAGAGGACGCCCAGCUUGGUGCCAGACGCAGACGAGGCACGAGGCACGUCGGGCGAGCUUCGGUGUUGAGGCCCGAGGCUCCGGAAUGAGGGCUAUGGGCCUCAGGUGUGCCCAGGAGCCCCGGCGGCGCCCUGUGCCCUUGGACCUGCCCGGCCAGCCCAGCCAGUCCUAGCGCCUCAGCGCAGCGCCGCCGGAGCGCAGCCACCCUCAGAGCAAACAGCCUGGGGAGCGGGGCCUCCGGACGCCGCAAAUGCUUCCGAGCCACGUCACGGUUUCACGAGCUGGUUUCCGCCGCCCCCAGGAGCCUCCCCAGAUACGCUCGGCUCAGGUGACAUCGCCACGCCCUCCGCGGCCCCUCCGUCUGCACGUGUGACAGUUCUGGGCCUUCCACACUAGACUGCAGUUCUUGGGAGCUGGGUUCCAAGCUGCUCAUCUCUACUGCCCGGCCCGGUAACUCGGGGCGAAUCGGUGAUGACCAUGCCAACCCAGCGGCGGUCCGGCGCGCAGCCCUUAGCACAGGAGUGGCACAGGUCGAAGGGCCUUGGUUAAUUCUUGUAAAUGGCACAAAACCCCUAGCAGGUGUGUCCUGCUCCCAGGAGCCUCCCUUAUCGUUGUUAUUUUGUCUAUAAUCCUCCUUUUUGUUGUCUUCUUUUUUCUUGGUACCAGGAAUCGAACUCAGGACCUUGCA